ACAAAAAAAGAAGCUAGAAUCUAAUACCCUCUCAUUAUUAAAUACACCAAGCAAUGUUGCUAUUGUUUCUUUCUCGCUACUUUUUCUAUCCGUUGCGACUGUUUUUUUAUUUCUUCUUCUUUUGUUUAAACAUUUCUUUUCAUGUUUAUAUAUUUUUUAUUUAUCCAACUUAUUUGUAUUUCUUGACAAGAAAGUGAAUCUAGAGAUAUGAAAAAAUCAUCAAUUUCUAUCAAUCUGUUGAAUUGCGGUCAAAAUCAGUGAGACUUUUCACAUGGGAGGUUGAAUAUCCUUUCUAAAAAUUAUGUAACUAAAGUUUUGUUUUGUAUUCCAUCCUCUUUUUUUUUCUUUCUAAUUUCUAUUUCACGGUUAUUUCAAAUUUGUAAUGCAUGCGGCUUAAUCUAUUUUAUUUUAUUGCUUUACAUAUUUUGACAUGUAAUGGAGAUUUUGUGGAGUGCAAUUUCUGCAUGUACACAACCUUUCUUCCUAUAAGUUUUUGUCUAAUUGGAAUUUCAUUCUAUUUACAACAUAUUCUUUUUACAAUGUAUUUGUGGUCUAUAAUUUUUAUAAAAAAACAUACAUUUUUUUCGACAAUAUCCACGUUUGACUCUAUUUCCUCUUUUUUAUUGUUCAUGAUUGGUUAAUAACUAAAGAACAUUAUAAGCCCAACUAUUUAUUUUAGUUUGAUUAAUAGAAUUUGAUUAUUGAAACCACCUUAUUUUUUUUUGUAAAAGUUUACUUGGUAUGCAGUACGGAUGAGAAUAUGUUAGGCCGUCAUCAGAAACUUAUGACCUGACAUACUUAUUAUCUGGUCUGAUCUAUUUAAUAAUAAUGUUAGGUUUAUGCUAUUUUUAAAGUCUAUUUAUUUAAAUAGGUCAUACACAGACUUAUAAAAAAACAUAUUAGGUUUAUCAGGUCGGCCUAUAUAUAUUUUAUUAUUUAUUAACGUUAUUUUUUUAUUAUUAUAUUAAUAAUAUUAUUUCUUAUUUUAAAGUCUAUCGAUUAGACAGUCACUAACUAGUCAUUCCAUAUUUGUUAGUCGUUCUAUAUUCGAUAGACGUUCAAUUAGAUAAUCACUCUGUAGUCGUUCUAUAUUUGUUUGAGAGGUAAUAAUGGGCGCAUUUGUUUCAAGAAAAAAUCUAUUAUUUGAAACAAAAAAUCAUUUUUUAGGGUUUAAAUGAUGUUUGUUUUAGAUUUUUUUAAAAUUAUUUUGUUAAAAAAAUUAAUUUUUGUUUAAUAUAUAUAGAUAUGUACAUUGAUAUUGAUAUGUGGAAAGUAUCAUGUGGUAUGAGUAGAGCAUCAUGUAAAUUGGUAUGAAUAGAAUUGUAGUUUGAUAUGUGUAUAGAGACUAAUUAUGGAUUUAUUUUGUUUUUCUUUUUUUCUUGAAAGGUUGUUGUCGUGUUGUUAGUUAUUAUUUUAUUGGAUUUGAUAAUAAUUUUAUUCGUUUCUCUUUUAUAUAAAGGCAUAGUUUAGCC
rnacentral:lncRNA from 1 species